rnacentral:rRNA from 1 species
UCCCUACGGGGGGCAGCAGUGGGGAAUAUUGGGCAAUGGGCGCAAGCCUGACCCAGCAACGCCGCGUGAAGGAAGAAGGCUUUCGGGUUGUAAACUUCUUUUAUUCGGGACGAAGAAAGUGACGGUACCGAAUGAAUAAGCCACGGCUAACUACGUGCCAGCAGCCGCGGUAAUACGUAGGUGGCAAGCGUUAUCCGGAUUUAUUGGGUGUAAAGGGCGUGUAGGCGGGAAUGCAAGUCAGAUGCGAAAACUCAGGGCUCAACCCUGGGACUGCUCUUGGAACUGCGGUGCUAGAAUGCAGGAGG